GAUGAAGAACGUAGCGAAAUGCGAUAAGUAAUGUGAAUUGCAGAAUUCAGUGAAUCAUCGAAUCUUUGAACGCACAUUGCGCCGGCCAGUAUUCUGGCGGGCAUGCCUGUUCGAGCGUCAUUUCAACCAUCAAGCCCCCGGCUUGUGUUGGGGACCUGCGGCUGCCGCAGGCCCUGAAAAGCAGUGGCGGGCUCGCUGUCACACCGAGCGUAGUAGCAUACAUCUCGCUCUGGGCGUGCUGCGGGUUCCGGCCGUUAAACCACCUUCAUAACCCAAGGUUGACCUCGGAUCAGGUAGGAAGACCCGCUGAACUUAAGCAUAUCAAUAAGCGGAGGA
rnacentral:misc_RNA from 1 species